CAGCUAGUCAUGCUAGAGCACUUUUUCAAUGUGCUCCCCAACGAGAAGGUGACGACGCAUUCGUAUGUUAAUCCAUAUCAACUUUCGAUGCCUUUGACUGCGCCUACUGUGGUGACCAUGGGUAACGGGGAAUCAGGGUUCGAUUCCGUACAGGGACCCUGAGAAACGGCUACCACAUGCAGGUAAGGAAGUAGGCACGCAUAUGACCAAGGUAGUGA